rnacentral:rRNA from 1 species
CUUGCUUCUCUGAUGUUAGCGGCGGACGGGUGAGUAACACGUGGAUAACCUACCUAUAAGACUGGGAUAACUUCGGGAAACCGGAGCUAAUACCGGAUAAUAUUUUGAACCGCAUGGUUCAAAAGUGAAAGACGGUCUUGCUGUCACUUAUAGAUGGAUCCGCGCUGCAUUAGCUAGUUGGUAAGGUAACGGCUUACCAAGGCAACGAUGCAUAGCCGACCUGAGAGGGUGAUCGGCCACACUGGAACUGAGACACGGUCCAGACUCCUACGGGAGGCAGCAGUAGGGAAUCUUCCGCAAUGGGCGAAAGCCUGACGGAGCAACGCCGCGUGAGUGAUGAAGGUCUUCGGAUCGUAAAACUCUGUUAUUAGGGAAGAACAUAUGUGUAAGUAACUGUGCACAUCUUGACGGUACCUAAUCAGAAAGCCACGGCUAACUACGUGCCAGCAGCCGCGGUAAUACGUAGGUGGCAAGCGUUAUCCGGAAUUAUUGGGCGUAAAGCGCGCGUAGGCGGUUUUUUAAGUCUGAUGUGAAAGCCCACGGCUCAACCGUGGAGGGUCAUUGGAAACUGGAAAACUUGAGUGCAGAAGAGGAAAGUGGAAUUCCAUGUGUAGCGGUGAAAUGCGCAGAGAUAUGGAGGAACACCAGUGGCGAAGGCGACUUUCUGGUCUGUAACUGACGCUGAUGUGCGAAAGCGUGGGGAUCAAACAGGAUUAGAUACCCUGGUAGUCCACGCCGUAAACGAUGAGUGCUAAGUGUUAGGGGGUUUCCGCCCCUUAGUGCUGCAGCUAACGCAUUAAGCACUCCGCCUGGGGAGUACGACCGCAAGGUUGAAACUCAAAGGAAUUGACGGGGACCCGCACAAGCGGUGGAGCAUGUGGUUUAAUUCGAAGCAACGCGAAGAACCUUACCAAAUCUUGACAUCCUUUGACAACUCUAGAGAUAGAGCCUUCCCCUUCGGGGGACAAAGUGACAGGUGGUGCAUGGUUGUCGUCAGCUCGUGUCGUGAGAUGUUGGGUUAAGUCCCGCAACGAGCGCAACCCUUAAGCUUAGUUGCCAUCAUUAAGUUGGGCACUCUAAGUUGACUGCCGGUGACAACCGGAGGAAGGUGGGGAUGACGUCAAUCAUCUGCCCCUUAUGAUUUGGGCUACCACGUGCUACAUGGACAAUCAAAGGCAGCGAAACCGCGAGGUCAGCAAUCCCUAAAGUUGUUUCAGUUCGGAUGGAUCUGCACUCACUACUGAAGCUGGAUCCCUGUAUCGA